rnacentral:rRNA from 1 species
UAAGGAAUAUUGGUCAAUGGAGGGAACUCUGAACCAGCCAUGCCGCGUGCAGGAAGACAGCCCUCUGGGUCGUAAACUGCUUUUAUUCGGGAAUAAACCUAUCUACGUGUAGAUAGCUGAAUGUACCGAAGGAAUAAGGAUCGGCUAACUCCGUGCCAGCAGCCGCGGUAAUACGGAGGAUCCAAGCGUUAUCCGGAUUUAUUGGGUUUAAAGGGUGCGUAGGCGGCUUAUUAAGUCAGGGGUGAAAGACGGUGGCUCAACCAUCGCAGUGCCCUUGAUACUGAUGAGCUUGAAUACACUAGAGGUAGGCGGAAUGUGACAAGUAGCGGUGAAAUGCAUAGAUAUGUCACAGAACACCGAUUGCGAAGGCAGCUUACUAUGGUGUGAUUGACGCUGAGGCACGAAAGCGUGGGGAUCAAACA